rnacentral:rRNA from 1 species
CGGAGGAUCCGAGCGUUAUCCGGAUUUAUUGGGUUUAAAGGGUGCGCAGGCGGGAAAUUAAGUCGGCGGUGAAAUUUUGCAGCUCAACUGUAAAAGUGCCAUUGAUACUGGUUUCCUUGAGUGUGGAUGAAGUAGGCGGAAUUUGUGGUGUAGCGGUGAAAUGCAUAGAUAUCACGAGGAACUCCGAUUGCGCAGGCAGCUUACUAAACUACUACUGACGCUCAGGCACGAAGGCGUGGGGAUCAAACAGGAUUAGAUACCCG